AACAACCUCGCACUAUUUGACGUUACCUACAGAAGAAGCACCGGCUAACUCCGUGCCAGCAGCCGCGGUAAUACGGAGGGUGCGAGCGUUAAUCGGAAUUACUGGGCGUAAAGCGCAUGCAGGCGGCCUGUUAAGUCAGAUGUGAAAGACCCGGGGCGUUAACCUCGGAAUUGCAUUUGAAACUGGCAGGCUAGAGUCUUGUAGAGGGGGGUAGGAAGUUUCAGGUGUAGCGGUGAAAUGCGUAGAGAUCUGAAGGAAUACCAGUGGCGAAGGCGCCCCCCUCGGACAAAGACUGACGCUCAGAUGCGAAAGCGUGGGGAGCAAACAGGAUUAGAUACCCUGGUAG
rnacentral:rRNA from 1 species